AAGAACCCAACACAGCGUCCCCCAAUCACUAGUACUCUAGUAUGGGAGCGCUUAACUGGCGCCCGAGCAGGGACCCACAUUCUUCACGGAAGUAAAGGGAAAUGGUGACGUGUCAAUAAUUCUAUAAAAAUAACUUAUUAAAAAAGCAAGUACAAAUAAAUUGUUCCAAUCCAAUUGGGCAAUUGAUGGCAAAAUUACGAAGUACUUCUGCGAUUUGCAAACAAGUGUUGGUGCACUAGAUAAUUCUAUAACAUAAAAGAAAUCGUGGCUAAAUGGUUGGCAAUACCUAGGUUCAAAUCCGUGCCGAGACGAGUCUUAAAACGAAAAUACGAGAAAUUUGCAGGCAUAAUGGUGGUACGAGAUUGAUUCUCGUAUCGAGGCUCAAAUCCUUGCCGUAAGACAAAUGUAAUAAAAAACAAGAAGCAAUUCUACGAGACGAUUAUUAAUAUUUUCUUAUCUCCACUGGAAACGGUAAAUAGCAGCAGCUUGGAAACAAUGAAAAGCUGA